AUUGAACGCUGGCGGCAGGCCUAACACAUGCAAGUCGAACGGCAGCACAGAAGAGCUUGCUCUUUGGGUGGCGAGUGGCGGACGGGUGAGUAAUGUCUGGGAAACUGCCCGAUGGAGGGGGAUAACUACUGGAAACGGUAGCUAAUACCGCAUAACGUCGCGAGACCAAAGUGGGGGACCUUCGGGCCUCACACCAUCGGAUGUGCCCAGAUGGGAUUAGCUAGUAGGUGGGGUAAUGGCUGACCUAGGCGACGAUCCCUAGCUGGUCUGAGAGGAUGACCAGCCACACUGGAACUGAGACACGGUCCAGACUCCUACGGGAGGCAGCAGUGGGGAAUAUUGCACAAUGGGCGCAAGCCUGAUGCAGCCAUGCCGCGUGUAUGAAGAGGGCCUUCGGGUUGUAAAGUACUUUCAGCGGGGAGGAAGGCGGUGAGGUUAAUAACCUUGCCGAUUGACGUUACCCGCAGAAGAAGCACCGGCUAACUCCGUGCCAGCCGCCGCAUAA
rnacentral:rRNA from 1 species